rnacentral:tRNA from 1 species
AGCCCCGUGGUGCUCCACGCAAGAAUGCAAAUCUUGAGAAGAACCCUAAAAGUGUUCCGGGGCUU